rnacentral:rRNA from 1 species
AGCAGCCGCGGUAAUUCCAGCUCCAAUAGCGUAUAUUAAAGUUGUUGCAGUUAAAAAGCUCGUAGUUGAAUUUCGGGGUCAGUAGGCUGGUCGUGCCACAGGUAUGUACUGGUCUUACUGAUUCCUCCUUCCUGAUGAACCGUAAUGCCAUUAAUUUGGUGUUGCGGGGAAUCUGGACUGUUACUUUGAAAAAAUUAGAGUGUUUAAAGCAGGCUAACGCUUGAAUACAUUAGCAUGGAAUAAUGAAAUAGGACGAUCGAUCCUAUUUUGUUGGUUUCUAGGAUUGACGUAAUGAUUAAUAGGGAUAGUUGGGGGCAUUAGUAUUCAAUUGUCAGAGGUGAAAUUCUUGGAUUUAUUGAAGACUAACUACUGCGAAAGCAUUUGCCAAGGAUGUUUUCAUUAAUCAAGAACGAAAGUUAGGGGAUCGAAGACGAUCAGAUACCGUCGUAGUCUUAACCAUAAACUAUGCCGACUAGGGAUCGGAUGAUGUUAAUUUUUUAAUGACUCAUUCGGCGUCCCG